GGGGAGGGUUGAGAUCUCACAAACAUGUUUAACCCCGCCGCAUUUUUGCGCCUGUCCCAAGUCAGGAGCCUCUGGCCUUUGUUAGUCUUGUAUUAUUCUAAUUUUAGUUUCUUGUGUACAAUUUGGAAAUUAGUAUGGCGUUCAUUAUCACUGGACUAGUAUAUAUUUGUUUAGGGGCCAGCUGAAGGACGCCUCCGGGCGCGGGAAUUUCUCGCUACAUUGAAGACCUGUUGGUGACCCUCUGCUGUUGUUUUUUAUUUGGUCGGGUUGUUGUCUCUUUGACACAUUCCCCA
rnacentral:lncRNA from 1 species